rnacentral:rRNA from 1 species
AGAGUUUGAUCCUGGCUCAGAUUGAACGCUGGCGGCAGGCAUAACACAUGCAAGUCGAGCGGUAGAGAGGUGCUUGCACCUCUUGAGAGCGGCGGACGGGUGGGUAAUGCCUAGGAAUCUGCCUGGUAGUGGGGGAUAACGCUCGGAAACGGACGCUAAUACCGCAUACGUCCUACGGGAGAAAGCAGGGGACCUUCGGGCCUUGCGCAAUCAGAUGAGCCUAGGUCGGAUUAGCUAGUUGGUGGGGUAAUGGCUCACCAAGGCGACGAUCCGUAACUGGUCUGAGAGGAUGAUCAGUCACACUGGAACUGAGACACGGUCCAGACUCCUACGGGAGGCAGCAGUGGGGAAUAUUGGACAAUGGGCGAAAGCCUGAUCCAGCCAUGCCGCGUGUGUGAAGAAGGUCUUCGGAUUGUAAAGCACUUUAAGUUGGGAGGAAGGGCAUUAACCUAAUACGUUAGUGUUUUGACGUUACCGACAGAAUAAGCACCGGCUAACUC